ACGAACGCUGGCGGCGUGCUUAACACCUGCAAGUCGAACGGAAAGGCCCUGCUUUUGUGGGGUGCUCGAGUGGCGAACGGGUGAGUAACACGUGAGUAACCUGCCCUUGACUUUGGGAUAACUUCAGGAAACUGGGGCUAAUACCGGAUAGGAGCUCCUGCUGCAUGGUGGGGGUUGGAAAGUUUCGGCGGUUGGGGAUGGACUCGCGGCUUAUCAGCUUGUUGGUGGGGUAGUGGCUUACCGAGGCUUUGACGGGUAGCCGGCCUGAGAGGGUGACCGGCCACAUUGGGACUGAGAUACGGCCCAGACUCCUACGGGAGGCAGCAGUGGGGAAUAUUGCACAAUGGGCGGAAGCCUGAUGCAGCAACGCCGCGUGCGGGAUGACGGCCUUCGGGUUGUAAACCGCUUUCGCCUGUGACGAAGCGUGAGUGACGGUAAUGGGUAAAGAAGCACCGGCUAACUACGUG
rnacentral:rRNA from 1 species